rnacentral:rRNA from 1 species
GGAUGCGAUCGUACUAAUAUUAAAGCACCCGAUCGCAUCAGAACUCUAAAGUUAAGCAUGCUUGGGAGAGAGUAGUAAUAGGAUGGGUGACCUCCUGUGAAGUCCUCAUGUUGCAUUCU